GCAAUGAUGACGUUGUGCUUUUGACAGCAAUGAAAAAAGACAGUCCUCUAAGAAGUUCUGAGCUC